rfam:Drosophila melanogaster chromosome X.
CCUUCGAUAGCUCAGUUGGUAGAGCGGUGGACUGUAGACGGUUUCAUAUUGAAUGCAGAAUACAGAGCAGAGAUCCAUAGGUCGCUGGUUCAAGUCCGGCUCGAAGGA